rnacentral:rRNA from 1 species
GACGUAGGGCGCGAGCGUUGUCCGGAUUUAUUGGGCGUAAAGAGCUCGUAGGCGCUUGUCGCGUCGAAUGUGAAAUCUCAGGGCUCAACUCUGACAUUGCGUUCGAUACGGGCAGGCUAGAGUUCGGUAGGGGAGACUGGAAUUCCUGGUGUAGCGGUGAAAUGCGCAGAUAUCAGGAAGAACACCCGUGGCGAAGGCGGCUCUCUGGAACGCAACUGACGCUGAGACGCGAAAGCGUGGGGAGCAAACAGG